AAUGCUGUUGCAGCUGGGAUUUAAGUGCUUUUAACCAGUCAGCAUUCUGAAGAACUUGAGGACCUCUUACGCUGUGCUAAAGCUGGAAUAUUUGGGAAUUUGGAGAAUGAAG
rfam:Fukomys damarensis contig128602, whole genome shotgun sequence.